rnacentral:rRNA from 1 species
AAGUUUUAUAGAGGUAGAGCUACUGAUUGGAUGCGGGGGCUUCACCGCCUACCAAUUCCUGACAAACUCCGAAUGCUAUAAAAUGUUACUCAGCAGUGAGGGCAUGGGUGCUAAGGUCCAUGUCCGAGAGGGAAAGAACCCAGACCAUCAGCUAAGGUCCCCAAAUAUAUGUUAAGUUGAACUAACGAGGUGAAACUGCUUAGACAGCUAGGAUGUUGGCUUGGAAGCAGCCAUUCAUUUAAAGAGUGCGUAACAGCUCACUAGUCGAGCGGUUUUGCAUGGAUAAUAAUCGGGCAUAAACAUAUUACCGAAGCUAUGGAUUUAUACUAUGUAUAAGUGGUAGGGGAGCAUUCUAUUUGCGCCGAAGGUGUUCUGUAAGGAAUGCUGGAGCGGAUAGAAAAGAAAAUGUAGGCAUAAGUAACGAUAAAGGGGGCGAGAAACCCCCUCACCGAAAGACUAAGGUUUCCUCAGCGAUGCUAAUCAGCUGAGGGUUAGUCGGGUCCUAAGGCGAAUCCGAAGGGAGUAGUCGAUGGAUAACAGGUUAAUAUUCCUGUACUUCUUAUAAUUGCGAUGGGGUGACGGAGUAAUGAAAGCACCGCGAACUGACGGAAUAGUUCGUUGAAACAUGUAGCUAUUAGAACUGUAGGCAAAUCCGCAGAUCUAGGUGAAAUGUGAUAGUACAACAAAUCUUCGGAUGCGUUGAUAGUGUGCCUAAAGGCUUCCAAGAAAAACCUCUAAGCUUCAGAUUAUAAGAACCCGUACCGUAAACCGACACAGGUAGUUGGGAUGAGAAUUCUAAGGUGCUCGAGUGAUUCAUGGCUAAGGAACUAGGCAAAAUAGACCCGUAACUUCGGGAGAAGGGUCGCCCAUCUUCGGAUGGGCCGCAGUGAAAAGGUCCAGGCGACUGUUUAUCAAAAACACAGGGCUUUGCUAAAUUGAAAGAUGAUGUAUAAGGCCUGACACCUGCCCGGUGCUGGAAGGUUAAGUGGAGUUGUUAGCCUUGGCGAAGCAAUGAAAUGAAGCCCCAGUAAACGGCGGCCGUAACUAUAACGGUCCUAAGGUAGCGAAAUUCCUUGUCGGGUAAGUUCCGACCUGCACGAAUGGUGCAACGAUCUGGACACUGUCUC